ensembl:lncRNA
GUGAUUAAUUUCCUGAAACAAUUCCAUGGUAACGUCUCUGCCACCAGUCGGUGAGUGUAAUUUGCUGACGGUCCCUAAAACAGGUAGCAGCGGCAGCCAGAACGUAAAUGACGUUGUUGCACAGACAUCGAUGGCGCCAACAUGUGUUUGUGAUUUUUCACGAUACGGUGUCCUAAACCGUCCUCAACAUACUAAGCCCCCUACAGUAUGGAAGGGGAGAUUUGGAAGGUACCUGGUCAGGUCUUGGUCAGCCUUCAAAUCCCAGAUGUGGAGACUGCAGAAGACACUAAAGAGCCAUCUCUCAUUCAUCGAGUGGACUCGUUGGUUUGCGAAAGACCACAAAGAUACUCCCAUAGGCAGAUUGCUGCAUGGCAUUCACCACUUAUUCAAAUUGUAGAGGUUGAAGCAGUCUUCCUUGUGGUCACUUGCCAUAACACUGUCAUGUGUUUUAUGAAAAAACCAUCAGUAACAUUUAAAUUGAGUUGAUGUGGACGGCUCUUUUUUUGUCCAAUUUCUUCAGUGUUCAGUGCCUGUUUGUGAGAUAUGCAUUGUUUGAAAGAUAAGCCUUUGAUUUUGUUUAAUUUUAAUAUGCCUUUCAUCAACAGUGGUUUGGGGUUUUAUAACAACAAUUAAAGUGCUUAACUACUGGUGAACGAUGUUGCAGAACAUAUAUGGUUUGUGUUGAUUGCAUGGAAAAGGGAAUAACCAGUUACAACUUGUAUGGUAAGAGCCUGGUAAUACCAUGGAAACAAACAAGCCUUCCUUUUACAGUACAGUUUCAGCUUAAUUACUGGGUAAAUUGUCCUGUUUUACAUGGUAACGUCGCAGAACGUACAUUGUAAAAGUUUGUGUCGAAUGCAUGGAAAAGGGAAUAAUGUAUUACAAAUUAUAUGGUAAGAACCUAGUAAUACCAUGGAAACAAACAAGGCUUCCUUUUACAGUACAGUUUCAGCUUACUUACUGGGUAAAUUGGUGUGUUUUACUUGGUAACGUCGCAGAACGUACAUGGUACAAGUUUGUGUUGACUGCAUGGAAAAGGGAAUGUAUUACAAAUGAUAUGGUAAGAACCUGGGGCCUCAUGUACUAAGACUUGCGUGGAUUUCAUACUGAAACUUGGCGUACGCCAAAACCCAGAAACUGUCUUACGCACAAAUAAAUUCAGAUGUAUCAAAGUGUGCGAACGCAUGGAUCCAAGCACGUUUCUUUUGUACAUCUCGAUCAACGUGGAAUUGAGCGCACAUGCCGAGGUGCCAAACUCCUCCCUGUCCACGCCCUCAUUUAAAUAUGCAAUUUCAUUUAAAUAGGCCUCUGGACCUGAGAUUCACCUCUUAAUCCGAUCACCUGGCACCAUGAACAGAGGCAAAAAACGAAACUUCACGGAGUCUGAGCUCGAGAUUUUGCUCCAUGGGGUAGAAAUGCGCAAGCAUAUGCUAUUGGAACCCUGUCAACAGGGAUAAAUGCAAAACAAAAGAGAAGUGAGUGGGAGUGUGUUUGCGAGGCCGUCAAUGCAGUGGGGUCUCAGCAGCGCAUACACUCUGAAAUUAAAAAAAAGUGGUCAGACCUCAAGGUGGAGGUGAAGCGGAGGGUUUCUGCCCACCGCCGAAGCGUGACCGCAACAGGUGGGGGGACGGGAGUGGGGGAACUCUCCCCCUUCGAUUUGAGAGUGGCCGCUUUGAUCGGUGACACAGCUCUCACCGGAGUGGUGGGAGCCCAUGAAGGGGACACCGAUCAUCCCCAAGGUAAAUAUGCUGAAGUCAUAAAUGCUGUAAUUAUACUGGUCAUACAAUUGGUUGCUUGCAAUACACAUAAGUCGUGCGUAAAGAUGCCAGGAUAUUAAAGACUUUGACUCGUGUUUAUUAAAGGUUGGGUAGGUGAUUUGCGAAACGCCAGCAGAUUUUGAAAAUACACAACUCAAAUGGUCCUACCCCCUCUCCUUCAACGCUGACUCUGACUCCACCCAUUCCAAGUACCUGAACGCGCAAUCAUGCACGAGCGCAAACACAGAUGCGCGAGAGCGAGCCAGGCUAGCGUAGGUUUUCGUUAAACAACAUGGCACUACAUUCAGCUGUAAGUUGCACCAGAUAUUAUAAACAUUAAACGGUCAAAAAAAUCAUUACUAUUUUUUAGAAAAUGUAUGUUUGUUUCAUAUAAUUGUAUUGGAAGUCCUGGUUUUCACUAGGGUUGCCGCGGUGUGGGACAUUUUCACACAGUCUCAACACCGGUAUUACCGAGUAGGCCUAUAAACGGUAUAAACUUUGAAACUAGGUCAACCGCCAUCUUCUCCGUCAACUCUCCUCUCACACUGUGACAGCGUCUGGCAGCGCGCCAAUUCUCGAUGACAGCGUCUUAUAACGUUCUAUAUAUAAUAGUAUAUAAUAUAAUUGUAUAUAUAAUAUCACGGCAAAAAGCUCUGCGCCUCCGGAUGGCCGUAGCGCGGUGAGCUCUCGUAAGGAUUGGGCUUUGCA